GAGGUGGUGUGACAGACAAACCUACAAAGUACAGAGACUGAAAGCAGACAGGAGGAAGCAGAAAUUAUCCAGGAUAUCUCUUCUUUCACAGCUCCCCAUCCCAUGCACUCCCUGUUUGGAAUGAGAACAAAGGUCAGUGGGUUUCCUCAUUUUCUCCCCACAUACCAGGUGUCCUAAAGACUGGGCAACGAUCAUAAGGAUGCCAGCAACUCUGGUGGAAUGGAAUGAGAUGGGUGUUCACUCGGUGUCCCAAGACAAUUUUUCUAAGUCCGCAGUUCACAGCAGCAAGCGCUAACGGAGAAGUCAGGCAUCCCUGUAAACUGCUGAACAUUACAGCCUAAUCUCAGCCUUCCCAGGUGUUCUUAUGGGGAAUACUUUGCACUUCAAAGCACGUCACCAAACUGCUCUCCAGGGAGAGAAGCAAUGAGCUCAGCCAACAGCAGUGAGCUACCAGCCAGCAACAGGAAUGAGAAGCAUGUUACAGCAACUUGGCCUUGAGACACCUCCCAGUACUGUCAGAGUGCUGCCUGUAACCAUAUUUCUUCUGAGGGCUAAUAAUUAAGGAGGAGCAGAGAGUUCAAGAUCCCAGAAACUGUAUACAAGAAAAAAAGACCUCACAUGCCAAGCUACUCACAUCUGAAUUGUCCUUGAGAGUAAGGUGGAAAGAAAGCCUCCGAGAGGAAGACACUCUUAAUUUCUUGUACAAAUCACCUUCGCCAUGUUCCUGCUAAGAAAUGGAUAUCCAUUAGCUGUAAUAUCUCUGUGGAUAAGGUUAGUGUGUACAAUCUACAGCUGGUAUCAGGCUGAAUAUUUACAAAAACAGCAUCAGUGCUGCCCCAAAAUUUACAGGCUCACCUGUUUAAUUCUCACCAGCACUCACUGUACUGCAAACAAGCACUAUUUUCUGGAGGAAG